rnacentral:lncRNA from 1 species
AUGACUCCAUCUCAGCAGACCCUAGUGGGGGGAUUUUAUGCAGUGUGGGCAGAUAAUGGUAGGGGAUGGGGGCCAAUUUUUGACCCCCAGAGGGCCGUUAGGAGGCCGUGGUGGCCAUCAGGCAGAAAAAAAAGGGCAAAAUUGUGGUUUGAGCAUGGGAGACAAGCAGGGCUGCUGUCAGUCAGGGUGGCUGCAGAACACUGGAGGGCAAAUUCUGCCCGAGGAGUAAUGGGGCCGGGACAGAGAAGAGCAGAACUAGGCAACCCCGUGGAAACGGGUGUGUGGAAAUGGCUGGCGUGCUCUGCCUGGGUUUUUAUAGUGCUGUCCCAAAGAGAGCAUAAUGCCAGAUUACUGGCUGGUGUUAAGCAGGCUCUGCUCUACGGCCUCCUGGGCACCCCCAGAAGCCGCUGUUUCCAAUGUCCUUGUGCUGGGUGCCAUCAGAUACCGUAUUCUUCCAAGAUUCCUUCCAAGACACAUCGCCAAACUUCAUGGAGAAUCCCCACGCCUUCAGAAUCACAUUGCCCCUGGGAUAACAUGGAUCUGAUAGAGAAUCUCAAUCUUGACCUGUACAGAGCAGUACGUCUUGCGUCCAAAACACAAGAAAAUGUAUUGCCUUCGUCUUGCUUUCUUAAAAGCGACAACCUGUCAGAUGAAAAAUAAAUCUGCUAGCUGGCCCUUCCUGCCCCAAACCUCUUACGGCUCCAGCUCAUGUUUGUUUCUGAACACUCUCUGCCAACAUUUCUUUUUCCUCUCGUACUGAUACUUAAUGCCUUAAGUGCUUGGAAAGAUAAACACUGUCUUUAAGCAGCACAAUCUCUUGAUCAGUUUAUCUGAGGAUUAUUACACGAGUGCACAGAGGAGUGAGUCAUAAAUUGAGCACAUUUUUGCCCCAGCUGGUGAUUUCAUUGGGACCAGUGAGAUCGCAUAUUCCAAAAGAACCAUGAAAAUGGGACACGGAGGAGAUUCAACCAACAAUUUUGUUCAGUUAACAAAACCCACUGUGAUGGGGCAGCAAGCUACGUAAGUGUGACCCACGCUUCCUGGUGCUGGGGGGUGAAGAGAGAAGAUGCUUUCUUAGGAUCAGAUAAAGAUACGCAAGCCUUUGUUUGCAACAGUACUCUUUUUCCCUCUCAGUGCCAUUUUGAUACAUUAAGUUGCCUGAAGAAGUGUUUAUGACUUUUGCCAAAUGCUACUUUCAGAACAGUCAGAAAAGCUGACGCAUCCCAAUGGGAAAAGGAUAUAAGAAUUGAAGUGGAAUUAACUUAAACCAGCACGAGUUCAUCCUCUUAAAUCUGAACCGGAAAAGAAACGAAGGAAGUUUGGUUUUGGUGCAUGUUGGACCAAAAUAUAAGAGUUUGAACAAUGUGCUGGGGAAGAGCUCCAAUAGAAACAUAAGGGCAGAUUAAAAGAAGGGAUGAGACUCGCUGCCCGAGAGCUGCCCCGAAUCAGCUUGCAGAGCACUGUGUGAAAUGAUAGUGAUUAGAACUUAAAGUCUGAAGAGUCCAGUUAGGACAACUGCCAAUUAACUAAUGUUCUGUUAAUGCAG